GCCGGGCGUUGUGGCGGGCGCCUGUGGUCCCAGCUACUUGGGAGGCAGAGGCAGGAGACUCGCUUGAGCCCAGGAGUUGGAGGUUGCUGUGAGCUGUAAUGCCACGGCACUCUACCCAGGGGGGACAGCUUGAGGCUCUGUCUCAAAAAAAAAAAAAAAAAAGAAAAGGAAAUUGUGAACUUCCCUCCUACACAGAGUCUCACUAUGUCAUGUCACCCUCAGUAGAGUGCGGUAGCAUCACAGCUCACAGCAACCUCAAACUCUUGGAUUUAAGUGUUUCUCCUGC
rnacentral:sRNA from 1 species